rnacentral:rRNA from 1 species
CUACGGGAUGCUCCAGCAGGGGAUUUUCUGCAAUGCACGAAAGUGUGACAGAGCGAGCCAGAGUGUUUUUCUAUAUUUGAAAAACUUUUGUUUGCUGUAAAAAGGCGGACGAAUAAGGACUGGGCAAGACCGGUGCCAGCCGCCGCGGUAAUCCCGGCGGUCCGAGUCGCAGCCACUUUUAUUGGGUCUAAAACAUUCGUAGCUUGUAAUGUAAGUCUCUUGUGAAAUCUCAUAUCUCAAGUAUGAGGCAUGCAGGGGAAACUACAUUACUGGAGACCGGAGGACGUAAGAAGUACAGUUGAGGUAGUGGUUAAAUACGUUAAUCUCAAUUGGACUAACAACAGCGAAGACAUCUUACGAUUACGGAUCUGACAGUAAGGGAUGAAGGCCAGGGGCGCAAAACGGAUUAGAUACCCCUGUAGUC